UUCCUGGUGGUCCAGUCGCUAGGACUCUGCACUCCCAAAGCAGAAGGCCCGGGUUAAAUCUCUGGUCAGGGAA
rnacentral:tRNA from 1 species